rnacentral:tRNA from 1 species
GGGGUUGUGGCUUAGUGGUAGAGCACUUGUGUAGCACACAUGAGGCACUGGGUUCAAUCCCCAGCACCA